rnacentral:rRNA from 1 species
GCAUAUCAAUAAGCGGAGGAAAAGAAACCAACAGGGAUUGCCUCAGUAACGGCGAGUGAAGCGGCAACAGCUCAAAUUUGAAAUCUGGCCUUCUGGUCCGAAUUGUAAUUUGUAGAGGAAGCUUUUGGUGAGGUACCUUCCGAGUUCCUUGGAACAGGACGCCUUAGAGGGUGAGAGCCCCGUACGGUUGGAUGCCAAUCCUUUGUAUAGCUCCUUCGACGAGUCGAGUAGUUUGGGAAUGCUGCUCUAAAUGGGAGGUAAAUUUCUUCUAAAGCUAAAUACCGGCCAGAGACCGAUAGCGCACAAGUAGAGUGAUCGAAAGAUGAAAAGCACUUUGAAAAGAGGGUUAAAUAGUACGUGAAAUUGUUGAAAGGGAAGGGUUUAUGACCAGACCUUUGCCUUGCGAAUCAUCCGGUGUUCUCACCGGUGCACUUCGCUUGGUUUAGGCCAGCAUCGAUUCUGGCAGGGGGAUAAAGACUUUGGGAAUGUGACUCUUCGGAGUGUUAUAGCCCAUUGUGUAAUACCCUUACUGGGAUCGAGGACCGCGCUUUGCAAGGAUGCUGGCAUAAUGGUCAUCAACCACCCGUCUUGAAACACGGACCAAGGAGUCGAACAUUUAUGCGAGUGUUUGGGUGUUAAACCCUCACGCGUAAUGAAAGUGAACGGAGGUGAGAGCCUUAGGGUGCAUCAUCGACCGAUCCUGAUGUCUUCGGAUGGAUUUGAGUAAGAGCAUAACUGUUCGGACCCGAAAGAUGGUGAACUAUGCGUGGAUAGGGUGAAGCCAGAGGAAACUCUGGUGGAGGCUCGCAGCGGUUCUGACGUGCAAAUCGAUCGUCAAAUCUGCGCAUGGGGGCGAAAGACUAAUCGAACCAUCUAGUAGCUGGUUACCGCCGA